UGGGGUGUGGCUCAGUGGUAGAGCGCUCACCUAGCAUGCACAAGGCAUUGGGUUCGAUCCUCAACACCACAU
rfam:Ictidomys tridecemlineatus contig015180, whole genome shotgun sequence.